rnacentral:lncRNA from 1 species
UGAUACAUCACAAUACAAAGACGCACACUGAGGCACGUUGUUUGUUUUCACCCUUUUAGCCUUUCUAGCCAUCCAUAAUGUUGUAUUUAUCUGUUGUUAACCCCGUUGAGCCUGUACCCCCUUGUUUGUGUAAACCGUAAUGUUAACCAUAAGCCAAACACUUCCUACCCUCGCUCGGCAUGACUGUUGUAGUGUAAAAUUC